AGAGCGAACGCUGGCGGCAGGCCUAACACAUGCAAGUCGAGCGCCCGUAGCAAUACGGGAGCGGCAGACGGGAUAGUAACACGUGGGAACGCGCCCUUCGGUUCGGAAUAACUCAGGGAAACUUGAGCUAAUACCGGAUACGCCCUUACGGGGAAAGAUUUAUUGCCGAAGGAACGGCCCGCGUCCGAUUAGCUAGUUGGUGAGGUAAUGGCUCACCAAGGCGACGAUCGGUAGCUGGUCUGAGAGGAUGACCAGCAUCACUGGGACUGAGACACGGCCCAGACUCCUACGGGAGGCAGCAGUGGGGAAUAUUGGACAAUGGGCGCAAGCCUGAUCCAGCCAUGCCGCGUUGAUGAUGAAGGCCUUAGGGUUGUAAAGUCCUUUUAACGGGGAAGAUAAUGACGGUACCCGUAGAAUAAGCCCCGGCUAACUUCGUGCCAGCAGCCGC
rnacentral:rRNA from 1 species